rnacentral:rRNA from 1 species
UUCGCUCUUCAACGAGGAAUCCCUAGUAAGCAUGAUUCAUCAGGUCGUGCUGAUUACGUCCCUGCCCUUUGUACACACCGCCCGUCACUACUACCGAUGGAAUGGCUUAUUGAGACCCUCGGAUCGACGAGUUGAAACCUUCACGGGUAUCUAUUUGUUGAGAAGUUGGUCAAACUUGGUCAUUUAUAGGAAGUAAAAUUCGUAACAAGGUUUCCGUAUGUGAACCUGCGGAAGGAUCAGUAAAAAAUGAGGUAUUUUAUACCUCUUGUAUUUAAAACCCAAUUCUUUUAAAAUAUACAUAAUUUUAAAAUAAAAAAAAACUUUCAACAAUGGAUCUCUUGGCUCUCGCAUCGAUGAAGAACGCAGCGAAAUGCGAUAAGUAAUAUGAAUUGCAGAAUUCCGUGAAUCAUCAAAUUUUUGAACGCAAAUUGCACUUCUUGGUAUUCCGAGGAGUACACAUGCUUGAGGGUCAGUUAAAAAAAAUCGUACAUCAUUGAUGUUACGGAACUGGGUACCCCCGAUUUUAUAUAAAUUGGUUACCUAAAAUUAAUAUGAAUGUAAUGUGAAGCGUACUAAUUAUAUAGUCGCUAAUCAUUUAUACUUAUUACAUUGCGGCUAAGUAUUUAGUUGGUGAUGUAUAAAUUAUGAGAAUGGCCUCAAGUCAUGUGAGAGUACCCGCUGAACUUAAGCAUAUCAAUAAGCGGAGGAAAAGAAACUAACAAGGAUUCCCCUAGUAACGGCGAGUGAAGCGGGAAGAGCACAAAUUUAAAAUCUACCUGGUUUCCAGGUCGAGUUGUAAUUUGAAGAUACGUUUUUGAUGUUCCUGGUUGGACUAAAUCCUUUGGGAUAAGGUAUCAUAGAGGGUGAGAAUCCCGUAUACACCAACCGUAGGGACGUUAUUUAAUACGUUUCUAAGAGUCGAGUUGUUUGGGAAUGCAGCUCUAAAUGGGUGGCAGAUUUCACCUAAUGCUAAAUAUAAGCGAGAGACCGAUAGCGAACAAGCACAGUGAUGGAAAGAUGAAAAGAACUUUGAAAAGAGAGUUAAAUAGUACGUGAAAUUGUUGAAAGGGAAACGAUUGAAGUCAGUCAUGCUGGCGGGAAUCAACUUAGGGGAAACUCUGGGUGCACUUCUUCGUUUGGCAGGUUAGCGUCGAUUUUGGAUGUCAUAAAAUGAUUGGGGGAAGGUAGCUCCUUCGGGAGUGUUAUAUCCCUUGGUAGAUGUGAUGUCUGGGAUCGAGGAUUGCAACGGAUACCCUUCGGGGCUAGUCGCCUGAUCUCUAAUUGGUGUCCGGUUACGGACAGCAUGCUGACCGUGAACUAAUUACUGGUUAAAAGGUUAGAGCGUGCAUAACUUCGUUAAGGACGCUGACGUAAAGGCUAUAAACGACCCCUCUUGAAACACGGCCCAAGGACUAUCACACGUCUGCGAGUGUUA